rnacentral:rRNA from 1 species
AACGUAGGAGACAAACGUUAUCCGGAGUUACUGGGCGUAAAGGGCGUGUAGGUGGUUGCGUAAGUCUGGCGUGAAAUAUCUCGGCUUAACCGAGGCAGGUCGUCGGAUACUGCGUAACUGGAGGACGGUAGAGGCGUGUGGAAUUCCGGGUGUAGUGGUGAAAUGCGUAGAUAUUCGGAGGAACACCAGUGGCGAAGGCGGCUCACUGGCCGGUACUGACGCUGAGGUGCGAAAGCGGUGG